CCUACGGGCGGCAGCAGUGAGGAAUAUUGGUCAAUGGUCGGGAGACUGAACCAGCCAAGCCGCGUGAGGGAGGAAGGUACAGAGUAUCGUAAACCUCUUUUGUCAGGGAACAAAGACUGGGACGCGUCCCCGGAUGAGUGUACCUGAAGAAAAAGCAUCGGCUAACUCCGUGCCAGCAGCCGCGGUAAUACGGAGGAUGCGGGCGUUAUCCGGAUUUAUUGGGUUGAAAGGGUGCGCAGGCGGUCUGUUAAGUCAGCGGGCAAAGCCCGGGGCUCAACCCCCGGCCAGCAGUUGAAACUGGAAGUCUUGAGUUGGAGAGAAGUAGGCGGAAUGCGCGGUGUAGCGGUGAAAUGCAUAGAUAUCGCGCAGAAUUCCGAUUGCGAAGGCAGCAUGCCGGCUCCACACUGACGCUGAGGCACGAAAGCGUGGGUAUCGAACAGGAUUAGAUACCCCAGUAGUC
rnacentral:rRNA from 1 species